rnacentral:rRNA from 1 species
GUGCCAGCCGCCGCGGUAACACGGGGGGAGCAAGCGUUGUUCGGAAUCACUGGGCGUAAAGGGCGUGUAGGCGGUUGAGCAAGUGGAAUGUGAAAUGCCCCGGCUUACCUGGGGACCGGCAUCCCAAACUGCUUGACUUGAGUACGGGAGAGGAUGGAGGAAUUCCUGGUGUAGCGGUGAAAUGCGUAGAUAUCAGGAGGAACACCGGUGGCGAAGGCGUCCAUCUGGCCCGAUACUGACGCUGAGGCGCGAAAGCUAGGGUAGCAAACGGGAUUAGAUACCCCGGUAGUCCUAGCCGUAAACGGUGAGCACUAGGUGUUGGAGGCAUCGACCCCUCCAGUGCCGCAGCUAACGCAUUAAGUGCUCCGCCUGGGGAGUACGGCCGCAAGGUUGAA